CAGGGCCUGCCCACCCUGCCAGGGAACAAUUCCUUCCCAAUCUCCCAUCCAUCCCUGCCCUCUGGCACUGGGAAGCCAUUCCCUGUAUCCUGUCUCUCCAUCCCUUGUCCCCAGUCCCUCUCCAGCUCUCCUGGAGCCCCUUUAGGCCCUGCAAGGGGCUCUGAGCUCUCCCUGGAGCCUUCUCCUCUCCAGGGCUGAAGAAUUUCAUCCCUAGUGCAGCACAGCUUGGAGCCACUCUGGGAAGUCCCAGAAGCCGUCCUAUGAAGAGAUUUCCCAUUGUCUGUGUACUGGAAUUCAUUCCAUCACCAAAAACUCCCUCAUGGAGCAAAGGCAGGUUGUCUCCAGAGGCAGAAUUCCAGGAGAACUGGCUAAUCCCACGUGUGCCUGUGUGUGAGACACUGACGAGAUCAAUAAAUAAUGCAUGGAGCCACACACUGAACGAUGAGACCCAAUGAAAUAUUGAAGAGCUGCUGUUCCAGGAGCAAGUCUGUUCCGAGCCUGGAACGAGCAGGAUCUGCCUCAGGAGCAGGAAUGAUCCCAUAUUUAAGGCUGGAUUAGAAUGCACACACACAGCAGGGCAAAAUGAAGAUUUUCCAGGCAGCUUAAAUCUGACACCUCUUAAUUUUUAACUGCUUGACUUUGUGACCUUGGGAAUGGUUUCAGGUAAUGUUAUUUUUGUUAUAUUUUAUUUUUUUUCCCCUGACUGUUAUUUCUGAGAGUUGUUUCAAUUUUUGGAGGAGGCAUCAGACCCCUGUUUUACAGGUGGGAGCAGAGACAGGAAAUCCCUGGCUGGGAGCUGAAGGGCAGCUCAAAAACUUGAGGAAAAUAUAAAAAAUUGGAUGAGGUAUUGGUGUGGAAAAGGGAUGUUAGUCUUUGUUUUUAUAGACAACUUCUCUGUCCACCCUUGACAAAUAGAGGCUUAAAAGCCAUCAGAACCAUGGCACAGAACCUCUUUAAAUUCUUAAUCACAUCUGCACUUUUUUGUGUUAAAUAAAUAUAUAUCCCUGUUUCCACCAGGACACAAAGCCUGACAGGAAUUCCAGGAGAUGGAAUUCUUUUCCCUGCAGUUCUGUGGGGCUUCAGGAUGUGCUCAUUUUUAAAACCAGAGAAGACUCCUGCUUGUUUGGGGUUGUAGAACUCCCACCGUGCUUGGGCUCACUAAUAAUCUGAAUAUAAUUUGUCUGAAUAACCAGCCCCUUCUCCUGCCUGCACCUUCUCAGGUGACAAAUGCUCCUACAUGGCUCAGAGAUUGCUCUUCAUUUGUUCAGAUAAAUAAAGGUCUAUGAGGAAACAUCA